UAGUAUAUGGAAUUUCCAUUCUAUAAACACCAUCUGCGUAUUUUGUACCUGUUGCUUCCAUGGGCCUUGGCCCUAGCGUUCGCAUCGGCUGAGAAGCUGGUGAGUGCCCAUGGGAGGAAAACAUAAACCCUUUUUUUUGUGAAUUAAGUCUGAAAAUGUUUAUACAAACGUUA
rnacentral:misc_RNA from 1 species